CCCAGUAAUGUGUCUGAGUGUAUAACAGAGCUCCACAGCAAUAAUACUCCCAGUAAUGUGUCUGAGUGUAUAACAGAGCUCCACAGUAAUAAUACUCCCAGUAAUGUGUCUGAGUGUAUAACAGAGCCCCACAGCGAUAAUACUCCCAGUAAUGUGUCUGAGUGUAUAACAAAGCUCCACGGCAAUAAUACUCCCAGUAAUGUGUCUGAGUGUAUAAC